UCGGGAACUCAAAGGAGACUGCCAGUGAUAAACUGGAGGAAGGUGGGGAUGACGUCAAGUCAUCAUGGCCCUUACGACCAGGGCUACACACGUGCUACAAUGGCGCAUACAAAGAGAAGCGACCUCGCGAGAGCAAGCGGACCUCAUAAAGUGCGUCGUAGUCCGGAUUGGAGUCUGCAACUCGACUCCAUGAAGUCGGAAUCGCUAGUAAUCGUGGAUCAGAAUGCCACGGUGAAUACGUUCCCGGGCCUUGUACACACCGCCCGUCACACCAUGGGAGUGGGUUGCAAAAGAAGUAGGUAGCUUAACCUUCGGGAGGGCGCUUACCACUUUGUGAUUCAUGACUGGGGUGAAGUCGUAACAAGGUAACCGUAGGGGAACCUGCGGUUGGAUCACCUCCUUACCUUAAAGAAGC
rnacentral:rRNA from 2 species